UACGAAGGGGGCUAGCGUUGCUCGGAAUCACUGGGCGUAAAGCGCACGUAGGCGGGUCGUUAAGUCGGGGGUGAAAUCCUGGAGCUCAACUCCAGAACUGCCUUCGAUACUGGCGAUCUUGAGUCUGGGAGAGGUGAGUGGAACUCCGAGUGUAGAGGUGAAAUUCGUAGAUAUUCGGAAGAACACCAGUGGCGAAGGCGGCUCACUGGCCCGGUACUGACGCUGAUGUGCGAAAGCGUGGGGAGCAAACAGG
rnacentral:rRNA from 1 species